AGCGAACGCUGGCGGCAGGCCUAACACAUGCAAGUCGAACGAAGUCUUCGGACUUAGUGGCGGACGGGUGAGUAACACGUGGGGACGUACCUUUUGGUUCGGAACAACUCAGGGAAACUUGAGCUAAUACCGGAUGAGCCCUUAGGGGGAAAGAUUUAUCGCCGAAAGAGCGGCCCGCGUUAGAUUAGCUAGUUGGUGAGGUAAAGGCUCACCAAGGCUACGAUCUAUAGCUGGUCUGAGAGGAUGAUCAGCCAGACUGGGACUGAGACACGGCCCAGACUCCUACGGGAGGCAGCAGUAGGGAAUUUUCCACAAUGGACGAAAGUCUGAUGGAGCAACGCCGCGUGCAGGAUGAAGGCUUUCGGGUCGUAAACUGCUUUUAUAGGUGAAGAAUAUGACGGUAACCUAUGAAUAAGGAUCGGCUAACUACGUGCCAGCCGCCGCAGUAAAAC
rnacentral:rRNA from 1 species